rnacentral:rRNA from 1 species
AGCCAUGCAUGUCUAAGUAUAAGCAACUAUACAGUGAAACUGCGAAUGGCUCAUUAAAUCAGUUAUCGUUUAUUUGAUAGUACCUUACUACUUGGAUAACCGUGGUAAUUCUAGAGCUAAUACAUGCUAAAAAUCCCGACCUCCGGAAGGGAUGUAUUUAUUAGAUAAAAAACCAAUGCCUUCGGGCUCCUUGGUGAUUCAUGAUAACUUAACGAAUCGCAUGGCCUUGCGCCGGCGAUGGUUCAUUCAAAUUUCUGCCCUAUCAACUUUCGAUGGUAGGAUAGUGGCCUACCAUGGUUUCAACGGGUAACGGGGAAUUAGGGUUCGAUUCCGGAGAGGGAGCCUGAGAAACGGCUACCACAUCCAAGGAAGGCAGCAGGCGCGCAAAUUACCCAAUCCCGAUUCGGGGAGGUAGUGACAAUAAAUACUGAUACAGGGCUCUUUUGGGUCUUGUAAUUGGAAUGAGUACAAUUUAAAUCCCUUAACGAGGAACAAUUGGAGGGCAAGUCUGGUGCCAGCAGCCGCGGUAAUUCCAGCUCCAAUAGCGUAUAUUAAAGUUGUUGCAGUUAAAAAGCUCGUAGUUGAACCUUGGGUUUGGCUGCUCGGUCCGCCUAACCGCGUGCACUGAUGCGGCCGGAUCUUUCCUUCUGGCUAACCUCAUGCCCUUUACUGGGUGUGCUGGGGAUCCAGGACUUUUACUUUGAAAAAAUUAGAGUGUUCAAAGCAGGCCUUUGCUCGAAUACAUUAGCAUGGAAUAAUAGAAUAGGACGGCGGUUCUAUUUUGUUGGUUUCUAGAGCCACCGUAAUGAUUAAUAGGGAUAGUCGGGGGCAUCAGUAUUCAAUUGUCAGAGGUGAAAUUCUUGGAUUUAUUGAAGACUAACUACUGCGAAAGCAUUUGCCAAGGAUGUUUUCAUUAAUCAGUGAACGAAAGUUAGGGGAUCGAAGACGAUCAGAUACCGUCGUAGUCUUAACCAUAAACUAUGCCGACUAGGGAUCGGGCGGUGUUCAACUUAUGACCCGCUCGGCACCUUACGAGAAAUCAAAGUUUUUGGGUUCUGGGGGGAGUAUGGUCGCAAGGCUGAAACUUAAAGGAAUUGACGGAAGGGCACCACCAGAUGUGGAGCCUGCGGCUUAAUUUGACUCAACACGGGGAAACUCACCAGGUCCAGACACAUUAAGGAUUGACAGAUUGAGAGCUCUUUCUUGAUUAUGUGGGUGGUGGUGCAUGGCCGUUCUUAGUUGGUGGAGUGAUUUGUCUGCUUAAUUGCGAUAACGAACGAGACCUUAACCUGCUAAAUAGCCUGGCUAGCUUUUGCUGGUCACCGGCUUCUUAGAGGGACUAUCGGCUCAAGCCGAUGGAAGUUUGAGGCAAUAACAGGUCUGUGAUGCCCUUAGAUGUUCUGGGCCGCACGCGCGCUACACUGACAGAGCCAACGAGUAUAACCCUUAGCCGAGAGGUUUAGGUAAUCUUGUUAAACUCUGUCGUGCUGGGGAUAGGGCAUUGCAAUUAUUGCCCUUCAACGAGGAAUAUCUAGUAAGCGCAAGUCAUCAGCUUGCGUUGAUUACGUCCCUGCCCUUUGUACACACCGCCCGUCGCUACUACCGAUUGAAUGGCUCAGUGAGGCCUUCGGACUGGCUCCAGGAGGUUGGCAACAACCACCCAGAGCCGGAAA